rnacentral:rRNA from 1 species
UACGGGGGGAGCAAGCGUUGUUCGGAUUUACUGGGCGUCAAGGGCGCGUCGGCGGCCACCGCAAGUCUAUUGUGAAAUCUCCGGGCUUAACUCGGAAAGGUCAACCGAUACUGCGGGGCUAGAGUGCAGAAGGGGCAACUGGAAUUCUCGGUGUAGCGGUGAAAUGCGUAGAUAUCGAGAGGAACACCUGCGGCGAAGGCGGGUUGCUGGGCUGACACUGACGCUGAAGCGCGAAAGCUAGGGGAGCGAACGGG